CCAAAUUUAAGUGACUAAAAAAUUCACACAUAUUUAAAUGAUUAAACUUUGACAUUAAAAAACAAAUACAACCUAAUAUCAAUGAGAUAUUAAGCAAGUGGACAUUGGAAGAAACUUUUGGGUCGUCUAGCUAGCCUAUGAUUCAAAAGCUGAGUUAGGGUUGAAAAUGACUAAUUGGAACAUGCAUUUCCAAGGGACAGGAACAUCAGCCCACUUGUUUUGACCACAAGACUCAAAGCAUCAAUCAAGGAUCCUAGAUGUGAACUUGGAAUUAAACUAUUGGGAAUAGAAGAUGGUCUUUUCUAGUGUCCACAUGUUUUGCCUACCUUCAUGUUGAUUUGAAUCUUUUGGAGCCUUGUGAUCAAUCCACUUCCAUCUUUGACAUAAAAUGUAAUUCCUUUGUUGCCUUUUGAUCUCCAUACUUAUCUUAAAAAAUUAGAGUCUGGCGACUUCAACCCGAACUUGAUUCGAUGUUUACAUUGACAUGUAUAAAGUUUGAAUAAAUUAUACAAUAAUAUUAUACCAAUUUAAAAAUAUUAGAAUUAAUAGAGAUGGAAAGAAAGCACAAAAAUUAUACAUGACUCAUGGGAUUUCUUUGGCAAUGGAAAUCUAAAAUUUUCAAAAAUUGUUUUCAUGUCUAGAAAUUAAAAUACACAAAAAGAAGGAAGCCCAAUGUAGAGAGAAAAUCCUGAUUAGAAGAGGGAAAAAAAGGUGUGGAUGAGAGGGAAAGGGGGUGGAGGGACGUGAGAGUGCGGAUGGAAUGAGCUGUAAACAGUUCCGUACGUUUCACAUGGGCAGAUAAGGAGAGGAGGGGAGGGUGGCUCAGUCUUAUCCUCCGUUUCCCUAAACGACAACGUUUGUUGAAAUGCUCACUAGCUUAUCUUCUCUCUCCUCUGCCUUUCUCACAUGUCCCUUUCAGUGCUUUCACAUGAUCUACUCUCUUUCUCUCUCUCAUCUCAUCUACCAGCUUUCUGCGGCUCAUUUGUAAUCAUUCCUUUCAUAAUAGCAUAGUUGGUUGGAGUUCAUUUCAUUUUCUUUUAGUACAAGGUUUGAAUUUUUUUUUUCUACUCCGGACAAAAACCAAGCUUGUUUUGUAAUGAUUUUUUAAAAUCACGUGUUUUUGAAAAAGAUUUUUUUUUUUUUUUUUUUUUAUAGAUUUUCCCAUCAACCAAAUAAACUCCAAACCAAACCAAGCUGAGCUGCAAUUAAACAAGCAAGACUUUAUAUAUAUAUAUAUAUAUAUAUAUAUAUAUAUAUAUAUUUUUUUUUUUUUCAUUUUCUUUCCUUCAUCUUUUCUUCUAUAUUUUCUUUUUCUUACAUUUUUCAUCAAAAUUUUCUAAAAUCAAAUAUAAAAAAAUAAUUUUCACAUAUUUGAUUAUCCUAUAAAAAGUAUCAAAAAAAUUUAAAUACAUUUAAAAUUAAUUAAAAACUUAUAUAUUUUUAAAUUAUUUAAUCUUAAUAUUAAAAAGUUAAAAUAAGUGAGACAAAUUUAAAAUAUCACAUAAUUAAUUUUUUUUUUUUAUGUUUUUUGGUUUUCCUUUUACUUUUCCUCCUCUCCGUCUUCUUUUCCUACCAUUUUCCCUCAAAUGAUACAUUGUUGAGAAGAAGUCUGCUCAAGAGUCAAGACCCUGCUUCAACAUGGUACUUGCCAGCCCUCACCAUUGCCCUAAGCCAUCUCACAGCAGAUUCCCUUGGAACACCAUUUUCCUUGGACACAAUUUCCUCAAAGCUGGAAAAUACAUCAGAGGGCAUCUUAGUUGAAGAACCAGCAACAUAGAUGGAAGCCCCCUCACACAGCAAAUUCUAGAUCCUCUGGCUCUUCUCUCGCAUCUUAUGCUGCACAUAGACCUUUUGUUGUUGCUCCCUUGAGAAGGCCACGUAAAAUCCUCCGCCCUUCUCUUCCGAAAGCACCCUGAACCCGCCAUUUCGUGAAUGAGACAACCAGAAAUCUCUGUAUAAGAAGUCAUCAUCCUCAUUCCAGCAACCAAAGAAGAAAAGAACUGGACCAGUCGAACAAGAUCUACUUUGUACGGCCCUUUCCUCCACAAAUCCACGAAAGGGCGCACAACCAGUCCCAGGGCCAAUGAGAAUGAGAGGAAGUGAUGGUGGCGGGGCGGGAAGGGAACCUUUAACAAACCAUGCAUAUGAAUAAUCACCCCUGUUCGUGAGAGAAUGCAGAGUUAAGCACCCCAGAAAGGAACUAUUUAUUUAGUUGCUGCAUUGUGUAAAUUUUACGAGUUUUAUGUGUUAUGAUGAAUCCAUACCUUGUUGAGGAUCAAGUCCAGUUAGCCACUUUGAACAUAGACCCAUUCAUUUCCUCUUAAAAAGUGUUGUCCAUGGUGUCACGUUCACGGUUAGGUGCACUUGAUUGGGGUGAGCUAAUGGAGAAGAAGAAAUGGAGUAGGAACCAGCUGCAACAGCCACUCGAAUGGCAUUUGCACUGAAGGGAAAUCCUCUAAUACCUAUAACAUGCCAUACAGACGAUCGGUUAAUUAAAAGAAAAGAGCAUUACUCACUGGGUGGAUGUAGAAGGAAAAAGGAACAUGCAUUUUCAGAUCAUUCGUAUAUUUAAUUCAGAUGUGGCAAGUUAGUUCAUGUGUGAGGGAUUUCCUUUUUCAGAACCAUAAAAAAAAGGGGGGGUUUACUAAAACACUAAUAAAUUGCACAAGAUUUCUCAUUCAUUAAUAAAAUUAUUCAUGUAGCAGUUAAAUAUGCAAAUAAAGCACCAGCUGCCUGCUAAGAGGGGGAAGAAAGAAAAAGCAAAGUACCAAUCAUUCACUAUCUACAUGGGACUGUUGUUCUGGUCCAUUAGUUUCCUUCCCCCAAAAGCCAUCAUUAAAUCCCUUUUUUUGGACCUAAAAAUAUUAUGUUGGAAUGAGAAAAAAAAGGCUUCAUACUUAUACAAAGUUUGAACCAGUUCUUUUGUCAGUAUGUUUUCAUGAAAUAAUGCAGAGUGUAGCACAGAGACUGUUAAAGAAUGGAAUUGAAAGAUGCUCAUUAAAUAAAACACAAAGCAGAAAUGUAUCAGUCAUUCAAAAAAUUUAACCUCCAGAACAGUUAUUCGUUCCUUCUGGUUGUACUGGUAUAGAUCAUCUCUUCCUUUGGGUGAGGCAAAAUAUUGAAGCCUUUCCUUUUCAUGUUCAGCAGUUGCAAAAAAACUCAUGACCUGAAAGGAUGAAAUAUAUCAGGAUAGCUAGUCACUAAAGUGAACUGGCAUCUUGCAGUCUGAAGUAGAAGGACAAGUGUAAGAAAUCAGAUUGCAUUAUACAUUUUGGAAACAAAUUUACAAUAUAUUUAAUUUCUACCUUCAAUUAUUUCAACAAAUUACUACACGUUGGGAAAUUAGCAAGCAUCAACUUAAACACAACUGAUCUAUAAACUAACAGCGCAUGCACAGCAUACGUAACUUAAGGCAGUUACAAUCCACUCCCGUGGUUAAAUUUAAUAGACUUGUGCCCAUAAAUAGACAACUGAUCUAUAAACCAAGAACACAUGCAAAGCAUGAACAAUUUGAUGCAGAUAUAAUCCACUGACAUUGCUAAAUUUAAUAGAGUUGUGCCUUCUCUUUUCCAAAUACACAAUUGAUAUAUAAACUAAGAAUGCAGGCAGAGGAUACACAACUUGAGGCAGUUAUAAUCCACUCACAUGGUUAAAUUUAACAUAACUUGUACUUUCUCUUUCUGUCACAUAUAUUCCUGCUGAAACAUUGUAUAUAUCAUGCUUUCUAAGAGUUCCCUCAUGUGCGGCCUCAUACUCCACACAUGGAGACUCAAAUAGAUCCAUAGACAAACAAACCACGGACGACCUCCUAUAAGUUUGCAUGUGGGCUCACUACAUUGGGGGAAAUAAUCAUGUGGUAAGGUUCAAACUCAUACUUCCUCCUAAACAAGGCUCUGAUACAGUCAAUUUUUUUUUAUCAAUAAGUAUAUAAUUGUAUUGCAAAGAGGCGCUAAAAUAGCGACCCACCGAAAUACAGUAUAAAGGGACUUACCCCCUUACAAAAGGCUCUGAUACAGUCAUAUAGACCCACAGACAAACAAAUCACAGACAACCUCCUUUAUGUUUGCAUGUGGGCUCACUAAAUUAGGGGAAAUAAUCAUGUGGUAAGUACAAACUCAUAUUAUCCCCUAAACAAGACUCUAAUACCAUGUUGGACAAUCAAUUUCAUAAAAGUUUAAACUGUUAGAAUUUGGAUUUAUAAUAUAUACCAUGCUUUGUAAUAAUACUUUUUCUUAUAAAACCACUGUUUCUUCAGAAUUAUUACUAAUAAAGACACAAAAUAAACAGUUGUUUCUGGCUAAGAAGAAGAACAGCAAAUUUUACAUUUAUUGAUUAGCCUAUAAAUACACAACUGAUCUAUAAACUAAGAAUGCAUUCAGAGGAUAUAGGACUCAAGGAAGUUAUAAUCCACCCACAUGGUUAAAUGAACAGAAUUGUACUUUCUCUUUCUAUCAAAUAUACACCUAUUCUUAUUCUUCUUUAGAACAGUUAUUUCUUCAGAAUUACUAUUAAUGAAUAUCAAAAUAAACAGUUGUUUCUGGCAUAAAAAGAAAUCAUUUUGUCAAAGACCAUAUUUCAUUAUCAUCUUGUUGCUGAAAAGAAAGAGGUCGUUACCCAACUCAGGUCCAGUUUGAGUUAUGGGAGGUUCAGAUAGGAAAUGGUAUCAUUUUUACAUAAAGAUUGAAGAGCAAGAAAGAGGAAGCAAAAUUAAGACACAUGGCAAAGCUAGAAGGCUAGUUACAACAUUCAACCCAUAGAAGAAAAAAUAAGUAAAUAAUACAGAGCUAACCAUACAGGAUUCCUGCCUCAAAGAAAUAGCGCCAGGGAGAAGCGGAAGUAAACAUCCAUUGUCAAUUCUACAAAAGUUUUUAAUUUGAUGGGGAUCUUUGAAGCAUUUUUAUUAGCAUUGGGAAGGUAAUUCUCCAUCUCUCCAGGAUGAACCUGAAAUCAAACAUUUUUCUUUAUUAUAAGAAUAAAAAUAAAAAAAUAAAAAAAAUGAAAUUAAAGUAAAUCUCCAACCAAUUGGAUAUAAUACUCAUUUAAGUUCACUAUAAACAAUAAUCUAAGAUUAGAAUCUGGAUGUAUCAAUGAAAUCGAAACAAGCUCAACAAACCCUUAAUCCCAACUGUUUGAGGUUGGAAUCCUUUUUGAUAUGCAAAGGAAAAGUUUACUAGCAGGUGUCAAAUAAAAAGAGCCAUAACCUAAGUACACAGAAUGUAUACAAAGAGAGCCAAAGGCAAGAAAGGAUAAAACAACACCUCAUCCUCUUCCUAAACAAUAAACUCAAGAUGGAGCUAAAAGUAACAAUCCAAAACAACAUUAGACCAAAAGUACAAAGAGUUAAUGAAGAAAUUUUCCAACAUCAAUUCUGAACUCUCUCCAAAUGGACCACAUCAGGCAAAGAGGAACAAUCCUCCAAAACCUCCUUCACUCCUCCCCACAAACUCCCUGACAAAGAGAACACUUCAGUCCAAUCCCUCUCCAUAUAUAGAUAUAAGAAAAUAGAAGAUUAUAGAUGGUAGCGCCUAAUGAAAAAGGGCCUUUCCCAUGUCCUACGCUUUUAACUUAAACCAUGACAAACCAAUCUUAUUGGUGCUGUUGGAAAAUGGCUCAAAUUCCCAAUUGGUAUAUGUUCUUUUUUGUAAAAAGCAUUAUACAAAAUAUUUUUUGCAUUGGUUGUUAUUAUAAUAUUACAUUUCCAUAUAGAAUAAGAAAAUUUACUUAAGAAUAUAUUCAUAAAUAUUCUAGGUCAUGAGGGAAAAAGGUUAUGAGAUAGAGAUGGGCUUGUAAAGAUUAAAUGUGGUAGAUAGAAAUGUGAGGAAGAAUGGGAGAUUACUUGGUGUAGAGACUCAAGGUUCAAGGUAUAAAUACAAAGAGCAAAGAAACACGAGAUGUUUCAAGGCUCAAUAGUGGUAUCUAUUUUUCUAUCCUCCAUAACAUUCUUUAUAAUUUAGCGUAAUGAUCUUUUUCAUUCGUGGAUGUAGGCAUGGCCGCUCAAACCACGUUAAAACCUAGUGUACUUCUAUGUGUGGUUGAUUUCAUCUUUGUGUUCUUGCACUAACAUGUUACAUUGAAGCUUCCACAUACAUAACAAAUUGGUAUCAAACCUUAGAAUGAUAGACUUGGAAUGGCAACAAAGUUUGAGGUUGAGAAAUUUGAUGGAAGAAACAUUUUCAGUUUAUGGCACAUUAAUGUGCGUGCCUUAUUGGUUCAACAGGGAUUAGCCAAAGCAUUGAACGGUGUAGAAACUCUAUCAACAACGAAGUCUAAUGAAGGGAAGGAUAAACUUAUAGAGAAGGCACCAAGUGUUAUCUUGUUGUGCUUAGGUCAUGAGGUAUUUCAUGAGGUUGCAGGAGAGGAUGUUGUUGCUAAGUUAUAGUUGGAGCUAGCAAGUUUGUAUCUAACGAAAUUUCUUAUAGAUCACUUGUAUUUGAAGAAGUGAUUAUUCACUCUCCAAAUGAAAGAAGGUACAUGAAUUAAAGACCACCUUAAUGGAUUGCAUAAAACUAUUAUAGAUUUGAGAAAUAUUGAUGUUAAGAUUAAUGAUGAAAACCAAGCCAUAAUUUUUAUGUGUUCCUUACUGAAUUCCUAUGAGCACUUUGUGGACACUAUGAUGUAUGGUAGAGAUAUAUUCUCCAUAGAGGAUGUUAGGGUAGCCUUGAACUCAUAGCGGUUGAAGAAAAGGGUUGGGAGUAGAGAAUAAAGCUUAGGGGAAGGUUUGAGGGAAAUAAUGGCAAAACAGGUUAAUCCAAAUUCAAAUCAAAGUCCAAGGGAAACAUCAAGCACUUCAAUUGCAACAAAGAAGGGCAUUGUAUGAAAAAUUGUCCAAAACAUAAAGGAAAAGAAAAAGAGAAAGUUUCUAAUUCUGGUGAUGUAGUUAUUGUUAUUAACUCAAGUGAUAAGUAGAUCCUUGAUUUAGGGUGUUCCUAUCAUAUCCUAAUAGGAAUUGGUUUUUUGCUCCCUUAAAAUACCAACCCCACCCAAGCUAAAUGGAAGCACCACAAGGAACCUCAACCUCCAUGACAGGUAGACAUCACCACCGGAAAAGAAACAUGAAAAUAUCCAAAUUUUAUUCACAAGAAGGCUAAUAAAAUCACAAUCCCCAAAUUCAAAUGCUAUAAUUCUGCUCUGACAACCGAAAAGGGGAUAAAAUCUUGUCAAGGAAGCUUUGCCAAAGAAGCACAAAAGAAGGCUAUAAAUAUUAAAUAUCAGGGCAAGAAGAAAGGAAAGGGAGGCAAGUCUCCACUACUAAAUCCCUCUCUGUAUCCACCAAACAGAUGAAUAAAAAUUCAGUUAUUCAUUGAAGAAUUUUAGAAUCUUCGGUAUUAUAUGGACACUAAGACAUAAUUGUACCCUGAAGGGUGCUGAUCAUCGCCCAGACCUCUUUCAACAAUAGCCACUGACCUCUUUCAACAAUAGCCACUGCUCCAAGAUCUAAAAGUCUUUUGUCAAGCUUCUCUGCCACAAACUGCAAUCCCUGACAGAAAAUCAGUUUCUUUUGAAUUAAAACAAAGUGAAGUCCAUUUCAUUAUCAUCAAAACAUUCCACAGUUACUCACUCUGUAUCAUUGUAUGAAAAAAGCAAUAUCAUUUCACAAUUUGUGUGAAACAACCAGAAAUUUUAACAGAAAAAUGGAGCAAUCAAUUUAACAAAACAGCUGAACAAGGCAUCAUUUUUCUGGAUUAAUAAAGAAAACUGAAAAGGACAUGUAAUUCUUGUGAGAAUUUAUGAACUAUUUAUAGAUGCAAUAAGUAUAAACUUAACAGGCCCAAAAGUUAAAAUUAGAAAUAUACUUCUAAGUUCUAUCAAAAUGGUAUGAAGAUUGAUCGCUCCAUAAUGAGGUCUUGAAGUGUCAUAUUUGAUAAAUAGUAUACCAAAUAAAAUAAUUUUUAUUUUUUUAUUUUUUGCUCUUAGGACAAGAAACAUGAACUAUCUUGAAAUGAAAAAAGAGGAAAUACAAUGAAAGGAUGAAAGGUCCCUGCCCCUUAGAAGAAUGCAAGACCACUAGGGAAAUCUAUAAACAAAGGGACAAAAUGGAAGAAAAGAAAACAAGCACACAAAAUAAGAAAUAUCUUUGAUAAAAUGCUCAUGUUAAUCUAAGAAAUUCCAAUAAAUGUUUAAAUUUCUUUGAUAUAUAUAUAUAUAUAUAUAUAUAUUUUAACCCAUAGCAAACAAUCGAAUUUCCACACUACUUGCAUGACCUUGAACUGUGAUAUCAAUUUAUAUCUUUAAUCCUCUAUUUAAUAUCCAUCAAAAUAAAACUAAUGAAAUAUGAUAUAUAACUUAUAGAUGUCAACAGUUUUUUUCUAGAAUAGAAAGAAAUUAUUACAUUAUAUUUCUGGUAACCAGAAUCACCCAACCCAAACACAGCAUAAUGAACUCCUUCUAGCCACCACUGAUUAAGAUUUCUCUGCAAAAGAAACUUCCAAAAUGCCUACAACAUAAAUGGGAAAUUAGGACAAGCAAAAUAUAUUACUAAACAUCGACAUCUGGGCUCCUCCAAUUUUUUUAUAUUCACAACAGAAUCUCAAGAAACCUUCAUGGAAUCUGGUGUAUCCCCUUGGCCUGUGGUGGAAACAACGAAUAUCACAUUGUCCUCAUGAGGUAAAGAACCCUGAAACAGUAAACAAGAAAGAUGCUGAAAAAUAUUGGAUUCAAGCCACUGUAAAAAUUGACAUGUGAAUGUAAUAACAGUAUGUACAGAUUUGCAUACUUAGAAAAUUAUUGGAAGUCACAUUGUCCUGUAAAAACAGUUCUACGCGAAUCAAAAAAGUAAACAUCCAUAGCCACUCUUAUAUUACUCUUAACCUCACCCUUUUGUCAAUUAUUAGGAAAAGUAAUAAACUUUUUAUACUUGUUUGAAUCCAAUAUUUGCUUCACAAAUCAACAUGCCCUAUAAUUCAUAACACUUAGCAAGGAGCUUCAAACACAACAACAAAACCCAGACAAGGUCCAUAAUACUCCGUAUCUUAUGGUCAUUUCUCAAAGGUCUCCUGAUCAUUAAUCACCCAAGAAAAACCCGAUGCCUCUAUAAUUCUCUUGUUGAAGACAGAGCGCUCUAACUAUGGUAACUAUCGAAAAGGAUUAUCUGAGGCAAAAUUCCAGAUCUUCAGAAACCAAAACCACGUAAAAACAGAAAAUCAAGGGGAAUUAGCAAGGAAGAAAGAUUGGACAUACAGCAUUGAAGCAGUCGAUGGAGAGAAGUGCUACAGGGCAGCCUCUCCGCCGCAUCCAAUGCAUUUCCAGUUUGGGAUGCGUAUGGUAUCAGUAGCUUCUGCUUCUGCUUCUGCUUCCCUUUCGUAUCUGCUAUCUGCUCACUGUUCACAUUGACACACACAGACUGGGAUAUGGCAUUUCUAGGUCUAUUGGUGGGUUGGGCUGGAGAAUGUGGGCUAAGGCCUCAUAUAUCUGGGGAAAAAUGAUCCUGUCUAGGAUUUUAUGAGGCCUUAUCCCAUUGAAGCCCAGUCUUGAAAUCAAUUUAUACUACAGUCCUCAACUUCAUGUGAUAUAUUUGUAUAGAAAAAUAGAACCAUAAGAAAUCAGUACCUUUUUUUUAUAAGAAAUUAAAGAUUGUAUUAAAAAUAAGCUUUUAAUUUUUUAAACAAUAGUCUUUAUAUUUUUUCCCUUAUUUUAAUAAUUUAAAAAGAAACUUUGGUUACUAAAUAAAUAAUAUACUUCUCAUCUAACAAAUUACAUUUAAAAAUGAAUUUUUAUUUUUAUUUGAAGAUUAGUAUUUCUUUUAUUGUCAAGUCCUUAAGAGUGUUCAUGGGGAUCCAAACUCCCUCCAAUGACCAACACGGGGUAAAUUCAAUAUGUCAUCAGUGACAAGAUUCAAAUUCAAGACCAUGUGUUAUUUACUAAGAUCACACUUUUUAAUACUUACUUUCAUCAAUUGGGUCAGUUAUUUUUCCUCAUAUUUCACAUAUUUAUUAUUUAAUAAUAUAAUCAUAAAAUUAUACCCAUUUUGCACUUUAAAGGUUCUUCCUUUUCGAUAUUUAAAAUAAAAGUUUGUACUUUUUCUUGUUGCUUUUCCUUUUCUUCCAAAAGGCUUCGAUUUUGGCAACAUAAUAGGUAAAAUUUAUGUUUCUCAAGCCAAAUCUAUUUUUGAAUAUAAUUGGUAGAAUCAAUUAUAUCCCAUUACUAGUUCAAACGAAAGGAUAAAGCAUAUAGAGCAUACACAUUCAAGGCAAAAUAAAUUAAUUACCAAAAUGAAUAUUUUGUAAAAUUUGAUACUCAUAUAGCUUAGAUAUUGCUUGGAUGUUCAAAAGAAGUUCAAUAUAGUUUACAACUAUUUUCGAAAACUUGUUACCAGACCUAAAUAUAACAACAGUUUUUUAUUUUCUAAAAAAACACAAAUUUUAAGAACUGAUUUUUAGAAUUGUUUUUCAAAAAGGUACCAAAUAAGGUCUUAAGUACUAAUUUGAAUAUAUUUUUAAUUUUUAAAAAUAAAGAAAUAACAGUAAUUUCUGUAUUUAUAUUUAUAUAAAUUCUUAUAUAAAAAUUCUAAAUAUACCAACAUCUUUAAAGUUACUUUUAAAAUGUUUAAAAUCUCAGUAUUAUCUCUAAUAUUUAAAUAAUUUUUAAAAUUAUUAUGUUUUUAAGGUAACUCACAAAAAAAAUUAAUAUUUUAUAUGGAAAUUAAUAUUUUUUAUUUUAAAAUUUAAAAACAAAAAAUAUAUCAGGAGCUAAAAAAUUUUACCAUGAAGGAAAAAUUUACUAGCAAAAGGCUUUUUAUUCAUAUUUAAUCUUCGAAACGACGUCGUCUAGACAGUUUUGUCGUUUUCCUCCGUUCGGUGAGAGAGGCACGUGCCGAUGUCCUGGCAAAAGAAUAUUAGUACGAGGUGCCACGUCAACACCAACGCAUGCUGAAGGCGGCGAAGGCCAUCCCACAGAGUAGUGAAAAAAAAAAUCCUAGGGGCACUGCAGACGACGCAGGCUGAGGUCAAUUUUCGCCAGUUUUGGAUAAGCCUUGGCACUAAACCCAAUCCAAACGUUUCCAAGAUACUACUACUGCCCCUCCUAGUUUUACUACUUCCGCUGCACAAAGGACAUCUACUUUUCCCAAAAUAGAAUACAAUCAUGCGUGGAAAUAACAACUUUCUAUUAUUUUUUUAUUUAAAAUAAAAUACAUUUUUAAUUAACAGCAAUGAGGGUGCGACACGUGACUAAAUAGAUUUGAACUAGGGAGAUGUAGCCUCCCCUGAAUCACACGCAGGUCCAACCUCUGAAUAAACCAUGUUCGGGAAACGAACGAAAGAGACUUAAAGUGAAGCUGAGUGACGUCAUUGAUACACGAGAAACCUUAUCCAGUACCAUCCAUGAAUGCUUUGUCUGAAGUAAGAUAAAACUGCCAGAUACAUCCACCGCAUCAUCAUCUUCAUCUACCCCUUAUAAAUAUUGCCCCUUCUCUCUUGAGUUCAUCUCCUUAUUUUCGCUUUACAAACUAAUACCCACAAUUCAUCUAAAGCUUUGAGCGAUGUUGGCCAUUUUUCACAAGGCGUUUGCACAUCCGCCGGAGGAGCUCAACAGUCCGGCGUCUCGGGAUGGUUCAAGGAAGCCCAAGCUGCCGGAGGAGACCCUCAGGGAAUUUUUAUCUGCUCAUCCUGCCAACACUUUCUCUAUGAGCUUUGGCACUGCCGCAGCGCUAGCUUACGUUUCUCCGGACAGGUCCUACCCAACCCACCAAAGGUAUGUAUGCUGGCUGCAGAAACUUACAUAUGUCAAAUAUUUUUUUUAUCUGAGUAUUAAUUGAGGAAUUGGGUUUGGUUUUUUCAGGCUGUUCGGUGGAUUUGACGACAUAUACUGUCUAUUCAUGGGGAGUUUGAACAACCUGUGCACACUGAAUAGGCAAUAUGGGCUGUCGAAGGGGAGCAAUGAAGCCAUGCUCGUGAUUGAAGCGUAUAGGACCCUGAGGGACAGGGGCCCAUACCCAGCUGAUCAGGUGGUGAAGGAUCUUGAAGGAAGCUUUGCCUUUGUCGUCUAUGACAGCAAAGCUGGGACUGUAUUUACUGCUCUGGUAAACAUCAUCUCUUUCAUUAAUUCCCCUUCCCCAUCUUAAACUACUUGAUGCCAUUGAUAAGUAAUCUGUGUGUUUGUGAAAUGGUUGGCACUUGGCAGGGCUCUGAUGGAGGAGUGAAGCUGUUCUGGGGGGUUGCAGCUGACGGAUCUGUUGUGAUCUCCGAUGACUUGGGGGUCAUAAAAGCAGGCUGUGCCAAAUCUUUUGCUCCUUUCCCAACAGGUGAGUCUAAAUAUAGCUGAAUGAAUGCUUGAACAUAUCUUGCAAUAUUAAAGGAGUAAUUAAUAUUAAAGGCUGAUGGGUGUUGAUGUUGGGGGGUGGUUUUUGGUUAGGGUGCAUGUUCCACAGCGAUGGAGGGUUGAUGAGCUUCGAGCAUCCAAUGAACAAGAUGAAGGCAAUGCCCAGAAUAGACAGUGAAGGGGUGAUGUGUGGAGCCAACUUCAAGGUUGAUGUCUACUCCAGGAUCAACUCCAUGCCUCGUGUUGGAAGUGAAGUCAAUUGGUCUAAUUGGGAGGAUUACCAUUAAACCCGCCUGCUCUUUCCUGCUCAUGGUCUGAUCUUCAUCAACAACAUCCAUCCCAACCAGCUUCCUAGCUUUCUUUCUUUUUAUGAUUUGAUAUCCUGAAUGUUCCUCCUUUCCUAGUUGGGAUUUCAUAGAAUAAAUGUCGCAAGAGUAAUGAUAUUUCACUACUCUUUGAACUAAUGAAUCCAAAGUUGGGGGAGAGGGAAGAGAGAUCAUUAUUAUCCCAAACACAAGGAAAAGGGAUCAGGGGUAUGCACUUGAUACGAUUGAGCCUUGAAAAGACAAAUCCUGCUCUCUCUGAACAAACCAAACUUGGUUGUUUUAGCUUUGGAAUAUGUCAAUGUCAUUUGAAUAUUCAUCCUAAACAUAUUAGGAUGGGCAAUAUUUUAGUAGUUUUCGGAAUUCCUCCUCGUUUCCUCCAUCUAGUUCAAUAAAAUGAAUGUGAAUACGAUUUGAAGAGGGGAUAUGUCAUUGUUGUUAUUACAUUUAUUUUUAUCAUGGGGUCAUUUCACAUAUUUCAAGAUUUAAAAAAAUUAGUGUGAUUAUCUUAUGUUUUUAAAAAUUAUUUACAAUUUAAAAAAAUGACCUUUUUUAAUUUUUUAAAAUAAGUUUUAAUUUUUUAUUUUAUAUUUUGUCAUAUCCUAUACAUAUUUAUUAUAUAAAGUAUAUAUAUAUAUAUAUAUAUAUAUAUAUAUAUAUUAAAAAUUUGAUGAAUAAAAUUAUAAGAUUAACGUUUGUAGGAGAGGUGUUGUCUUAAGUUUAGGAAAAAGAUAUAUUCAAACCUUAUGGCGCUUUUAAUUUGUCAAUAAAUUUUUUUAAACGACAUUUUUGGGGUUUAAAUCUUGAUUUUGAUUCUAAUAUUACUUAUUGAUUAAAUAUUUAUCUGAAUUAAAAUUAUAAAAUCUAUUAUAAGGAUUUUUUUUAAAAAAAAAUUAAUUGGAUGUGAGCAACUAAUAAAUUGUAAGGUUAAUUUGUAGGGAAUUAAACUGAAUUCCCUGUGAGAAACAAAAAAUAGAGAAAACACACGUCAAAGAAAAAUAAUCACACAUACAAGAUAAUAUUUACAUGGUUCGGUAAUUUGCCUACAUUCACGGAGUUGCAAGGAUAUCAUUAUUAUCAGGGAAUAAUACAAAGUACAACCCCUGCAACUCCGUGGGAAUUUUCACUGAAGGUGGAGUCGAUUGCUCUUUCGUGGUGAUAUGAUACAAAAAAGUUUGUGUCAUGGAGAGAUUGAAGAUUAACUUCAUGGAAUUUGGUCCAAGGUGGAGAUUGUUAGGAAGUGUCCCAAAUUCCUAAUUAGUAUAGAUUAUUUUUUUGUAAAAAAUAUUAUAUAGAAUAUUUGUAGGUUGAUAUAUUAUUGCAAUAUUAGACUUCCUUAUAGAAUAAGGAAGGUUGUUGGAAAUAUCUCUAUAAAUAUUCCAGGUCAUGAGGGGAAAAAAUCAUGAGAUGGAGAUGACCCUGUAUAGACUAUACGAGGUGGAUAGAGAUGUGAGGAAGAACAGGAGGUAUCCGGUGGAACGAGAGAGGGCUCGUAAUAAGGUAUGAAUACAAGGAGUGGGGAAACAUGAGGAUGUUUCGGGAACCCAAUAGUUGUAUUUAGCUCUUUCCUCUAUAAUAUUCUCUAUUGUAUAGUGGAAUCGUUCUUUCUCAUCUGUGGAUGUAGGCAUGGUUGGCCGAAUCACUUUAAAACCUCGUGUACCAUAUGUGUGAUUGUUUUAUCUUUUUGUGUUCUUAAACUAACAUUAUUGACAUUAAAGCUUUCGUUGGUGCAACAACAGAUAAAACAAUCACACAUAUGGUACACGAGGUUUUAAUGUAGUUCAGUCAACUAUGCCUACGUUCACAGAUGAGAGAAAACGAUUUCACUAUACAAUAGAGAAUAUUAUAGAGGACAGAACCAGAUACAACUAUUGGGUUCCCGAAACAUCCCAUGUUUCCCCACUUCUUGUAUCCAUAUCUUACUACGAGCCCUCUCCACCAGGUACCUCCCAUUCUUCCUCACAUCUCUAUCCACCUCGUAUAGUCUUUACAGGCUCAUCUCCAUCUCAUGACUUUUUCUCCUCAUGACCUGGAAUAUUUAUAGAGAUAUUUCCAACAAACUUCCUUAUUCUAUAAGGAAGUAUAAUAUUACAAUAAUAUAUCAACCUAGAAAUACUUUAUAUAAUAUUCUUUACAAAAAAGGAAUUUAUACUAAUUAGGAAUUUGGGACACUUCCUAACAUAAUUUUGCUUAUUUUUCCUAUAGUUUGGAUUAAAUAUACUUAAGGCAAAAAUUUCCUUGAAGGGAAGGAGAAUGAAAUUAAUCAAUGAGAAGUAUAAAGAAGGUUUUUGAUAAGAUUUUAUAUUAAUGGAGGUGAGAUGAAUUUAAUCCAAAUUUCAUAAAUGAGGUAAAUGAAAUUAAUUAUAAAGACGCGUUUGUCUAGCUCCAAAUUCGAACCCAAACUAGAAUGGGGUUAAUGAUGUCCUCAACCCAAUUAUUCAAAUCCUAUCCAUGGAUAAAGUCGCCCAAAUCCACUCAAGGAUAGCGUCGAACCGACUCAAUCUGGCGCACUGCAGCUGCUAGCCUGCUCUUCUGUCUUCACCCACGACUGACUACCCACCAAAAUUUGGAGUGCUCAGAGGGAUGGCAGACAGAUUCUUCCCAAACGAAAUGCCGGAGACGGCAGUGGAAGCGGAGGAAACAAGCGCUCAAAACAGUGGAGACUCUCUGAUAAAGCUCCUCUCUUUUCCAUACGAAACUCUCUCCCAACAAUUCGAGCGAGCUGCUUUGGAUGUCAAAGACGCUGUACACGCCUCUUUCUGAACUUUUUGAUCUGGGUCUUGGGUAUUUUUGGGGAUGGAUUGGGACACAAUAGAAGUGAAUGUAUUUUGUGUUGUGGUGGCUGGUGGUCAUGUUUCAGGUUGUCAGGGAGACAUGGGCGCUUGCUGGAAAACGCGUACAGGACUAUGCUUUGUAUACUGGGGCUCUUGGGACUGCGUUUUUGCUCUUCAAGGCCUAUCAGAUUACUAACAACAGGGAUGAUCUUAAUGUUUGUUCCGAGAUUGUCAAGGCUUGUGAUUCUGCUUCCGCCACCUCUGGGUACCUCUUCUUUUUUCCCCUCUUUUCCCUAUGUGUGUGUCUGUGUUUCUGCUCCUUAAAUCGGUUGGAAUUUUACACUGGAUUAGUAGUUUACUCAUUCCUUUCUAUCUGUUUCUGCGGAUUUCUCCUUGCCCCAUCCAUACUGUAUUGGAUACUAAGAAUUUCCUGGGAGCAAAGGAGCUGGUGUGGAAAGGACGAUCCUGGAGGGAUAUUCCUAAGACACCUACUUGUAUUGAUCAAACUCUGGCACAUUGAUUUAAAGGGAGAAGAUAGAAAGACUGGCUCAAUUGGGGUGGGUUAUAGUAUUGGGAAUUUGUCAAAGUGGAUUUUGUUUUGUACCCAUUUUUUGGGUUUCAUCCAGGUAUUCCAUCAAUGAAAAAGAAAAAAUUAGCUCCACCACUUUGGCGUUAAGACCUGCAUGAUCAAUUAAAUUGGUUGAAAUUCUGCUGUUAAUCGUGGAACCAACCUACCUUGCCCACCAUGGAAAAUAUGAAUGUAUUCAACUACUGUUCGUAAUUCAUAUGGGAGAUUGUUUAAAAAAAAUGGUUGGGAUCAUGCACCCACUAUCAGGUUCUAUCCUGGUUUGCCUGAAAGUGGAUAUUUAGCAACUUAGCUUAACUUAAUUUGCAUUUUUAAUGUAUGGGGUUGCAGGCGUGUGACAUUCAUAUGUGGGCAAGCUGGUGUUUAUGCUAUUGGUGCUGUUGCGGCUAAGCAUGCUGGGGAUGAAAGAUUGCUUGGUCGCUACUUAACUCAAUUUAAAGAGGUACUUUGAUUGUAUGUUUUUACAACUAUGACGAUGAUUCCAAUAAUCCUAACCUGCUAUAAUACUCCAAAAUUAAAAAGAUAAAAUUUAAUUUUUAUGUUUGUUGGCAUUGAUUAUUUUUAUCUGUCCAUUAAUCAAUUCUUUUUCUUUUUGAGCGCAGAUUAAGCUUCCUAAGGAUUUGCCAAAUGAGUUACUAUAUGGGCGAGGAGGGUUCUUAUGGGCAUGCUCAUUCUUAAAUAAGCAUAUUGGUAAAGACACAAUAUCUUCUGCUCGCAUGGUAAGAUCUACCAUUCUUUCAUUUCAUUUUGCCUCAAUCCUUCUCGAAUAAGAGGGUUAAAUGAAUUCUUGUUGGGUUGACAUUAAAUACAGAGAGCUUCUGUGAAGGAAAUUAUCAAGUCGGGUAGAGAAAUGGCAAAAAGGGAAAGAUGCCCAUUGAUGUAUGAAUGGCACGGGAAGAAGUAUUGGGGUGCUGCCCAUGGGUUAGCGGGGGUUAUGCAUGUUUUGAUGCACAUGGAACUGAAACCAGACGAGGUGGAGGAUGUCAAGGGUACCUUGCGUUAUAUGAUCAAGAACCGUUUCCCCAGUGGGAAUUAUCCUUCAAGUGAAGGAAGUGAAUCUGACCGCCUUGUGCAUUGGUGUCAUGGUGCUCCUGGUGUUGCUCUUACCCUUUUGAAAGCAGCUGAGGUACUCUUUCUCAGGGAUACUUCUCCUACAAACUAGUUUAGACAACUUAAGGAAAUAAAGGUUAACAGUAUUAUUUUCAUUUGUGCACAAGGAUUGACAUUCUAAUUUGGUAUAGUAGAAUAUCGGACAAAAGAUCCACAAGUGAUUCUAGAAAUUUCCAGUAACUCCUGUUUGGAGCCCAAGAAAGGAACUAUUAUUUUGGUGUAAGUACUACUAAAGCAUUGCACAGUAUCAUGUGAAUAGGAAAUUCAUAGCCAUUAGCCAGCCUAUGAUCUUGUUGUGUCAAGUGGACACCCAGGAAAGUGUAACUUCUCUGCAACUGUGUUCUAAUCUUAUUCUGCUCAAAGACCAAGCAUGAAAUUUGUGGGGUUCUCUGAUUCUGUUUCCUGAUGCAUAUGCUAUUCUUUAAUACCAAAAUAUGUCAAUAAUCUACUCUUAUUAUAUAGAAGGAUGAUUAUUCUUAAGGUUUUGCAAGUCUGUCACAACUAUCUUAAGAACAUUAAUGAUCAGGUUUUUGGAGACAAGGAGUUUCUGCAAGCAGCUGUGGAUGCAGGGGAGGUGGUAUGGAACAGAGGCCUGCUUAAGCGAGUUGGGAUUUGUCAUGGCAUCAGUGGGAAUACCUAUGUGUUUCUUUCACUCUACAGACUGACUGGUAAUGUGGAGUUCUUGUACAGGGCCAAAGCAUUUGCUUGUUUUUUACUCGACAGGGCCCAAAGGCUUAUAUCAGAGGGGAAGAUGCAUGGAGGUGAUCGCCCUUAUUCACUAUUUGAAGGCAUUGGAGGAAUGACUUAUCUGUUUCUGGACAUGAUCGAACCAUCUGAGGCCAGGUUCCCAGGUUAUGAACUUUAGGUUGCUUUCUACAGGACAAAUAGGGGAGACCACGGGUAUGAUUAUCACUUCUGUAUGUUGAGUCUCAGAGCUUCUGUAAAUAAUAUAUGAAGUCUUAAAACUUUUGCAAAUAUAUGAACUGAACAUAUUUCAGUUUUGUCUCGAGUUCUUGUGCAUUGGUGGAGAAACAUGAUCUACUCUUCAUUUGACAAGUAUAUCUCAAACCCUUCUUUUAUUGAAAAAUGGUAGCUUUGUGCUUAAUGAUGUGCACCCUCUUGAAAAGACGAUGAGGGUUGGUUGCAUGAAGCUCUUAUAUAUGAAUGCACUCGAUCAUCUUCUUGUCUCUGUUGUAAAAAAUGGAGAUGAAAGAAUCAAAAUCGUUUUCAAUUAUUGGUUUCUCUUAUUGCAGUGAUGUGAUAUGUUUCCAUGUAGUCUCCAUCCUUGUCGACUACAUCAUACUUUCUCUGCUGUUUUGAGUUUUUAUUGGUUCAUUUAUAGUUGAUGGUUGCAAGUGUGCCAUCAUGACAACUUGUGGAUUUGAUGAGUUGAGGGGAAAGUGGGCACUGGCAUAGAAAUGUGUUUUAUGGGAACUAAUGAGGGACAAUUAUUGAGGACAAUGGGACCAAAGCCACAAUGGAUGGAGCAAAUGAAGGGGGCGACUAUCAAAAAUACACUUUGGAGCACUAGUGCGGUGGAUCCUUCCACAGACUCUGUUAUGUUGAAACAUUCUACUCUUGCUAAAUCAGAAUUUUUGUGUUUAUUUAUUUUCUUGUUCUUCAAUUUAUUGAGUCCACGUAUCAAAGAAGACCGCAGAUCAGCUGGAAGUCGGGUAUUACUCAACUUCAGGUACAUGUUGACUUGUCCAACUCUUCAAAUUGAUAAAUGGUAGUUUUUUUCAUUUAUACUUUCAUUCGUUCAUGUACAAAGUAUAUAUAGAGGGUAAUUACCAUUCUAAGAAUGGGAAAGAAUGAUACAAGGAAAUAAUGAUAUAAGAAAAUAACAACUAAUAUCCUAAUAUCUCAACUUUCCUAAUAUCUCAAUAUUCAUAAUAUCUCAACUUUCUUAAUAUCUAAACAUUCCUAAUAUCUCAACACUAAAUGAUAUAAGGAAAGAAUGAUAUAAGGAAAACAUUCCUAAUAUCUCAACACUCCCCCUCAAGUUGGUGCAUAUAUGUCACACAUGCCCAACUUGUCUAAAAAUUUUGAGAACACUUGACUUGAGACAGCUUUGGUAAGAAUAUCGGCCAAUUGAUCUUCUGAUCGAAUCUUAGGCAAUUCCACAAUCUUAUCAUCCAACUUUUCCUUAAUGAAGAAUCUAUCCACCUCGACAUGCUUUGUACGAUCAUGAUGUACUGGAUUAUGAGCAAUGUCACAUGCGGCUUUAUUGUCACAAAACAAUCGGAUUGAUUGCCUAGAUAGGUAACCUAAAUCCUGUAAGAGGAGUCUUAGCCAUAAUGCCUCACAAAGUCCUAGAGUCAUACCUCUAAAUUCCGCUUCUGCACUUGAACGAGCGACGACAUUCUGCUUCUUACUUUUCCAUGUCACAAGAUUACCACCUACAAAGGUAAAGUAACCAGAUGUAGAUCGCCUAUCAUCCACUGCACCGGCCCAAUGAGCAUCAAUAUAUACUUCUAUACUCUGAUGAUCAACAUUUUUAGCGAACAAAAUUCCCUUCCCAGGAGCAUUCUUCAAAUACCUCAAAAUACGCAUGACUGCAUUCAUAUGUUGCUCUCCAGGAUUAUGCAUGUAUUGACUCACUACACUCAAUGCAUAAGCAAGAUCUGGUCUUGUAUGAGCUAAGUACAUUAAUCUCCCCACAAGUCUCUGGUAUCUUCCCUUAUCAGUUGAUACUUGAUUAGGCUCAACACACAAUUUCAGACCUUCUUCUAUUGGUGUAUUAACAGGUUGACAUCCCGACAUUCCAGUCUCCUGUAAAAGAUCUAAGGCAUACUUUCUUUGAGACAGAAAAAUUCCUUCACUUGAUCGAGAAACUUCAAUCCCAAGAAAGUAUUUUAGAGAACCUAGAUCUUUCAUUUCGAAUUCUUUACAUAGAUAAUUUUGCAGAGCUUUUCUUUUUUCAGGAUCAUUUCCUGUAACUACCAUGUCAUCCACAUAUACGAUAAGUGUCGUAAUCUUACCAUGUUGCUUUUUUAGGAAUAAAGUGUGAUCUGAAUUACUUUGACGAUAGCCAAAAGCUCUCAUUGACUUUGUGAACCUUCCAAACCAUGCUCUCGGGGAUUGCUUCAACCCAUACAAUGACUUCUUCAAUUUGCAUACCUUCUGACAUUGCUUUUUUGACAUUGCUUUUCUAACACCAUGCAUCCUGGUGGAAGAUCCAUAUAUACUUCUUCAGAUAACUCGCCAUGCAGAAAGACAUUUUUCACAUCGAAUUGUUGUAAUGGCCAAUCUAGGUUUGCAGUUAAAGACAAUAAUACUCGAAUUGUGUUGAUCUUAACUACAGUUGCAAAUGUCUCUAUGUAGUCAAUUCCAUAAGUUUGAGUGUACCCUUUUGCUACUAGUCUUGCUUUAAAUCGUUCAAUACUACCAUCUGCCUUGUACUUCACAGUAUAGAUACAACGACACCCAACUGGCUUCUUUCCUGGUGGACAUUCUACGAGUUCCCAUGUUUCAUUCUUCUGCAAUGAUUUCAUCUCUUCAUUCAUGGCUGCUUUCCACCUUGGAUCAGCUAAGGCUUCCUGCACACUGUUAGGAAUAGAUACAGUAGAUAAUUGAUUUACAAAUGACUUAUUUGAUUCAGACAAACAAUGGGUAGACACAUAGUUGCUCAUGGGAUAUUUGACUUUAGUAGACAAUUCAGGUUCAUAUGUGGGUUUAGGAAUACCUCUAUUAUGACGAUGUGGUAACCGUUUCAUGAAUGGAUCAGGUUCCAAAUUAAGAACACCCUCAACAGACGACGAUUGGUUUGGUAUUUCAGUGAAGACAUCUUCGGACCCAAAUUGUUGACCACUCAUAUCCAACUCACCCACUUCCUGGUUCACUAGUUCAGAUUGUCCAGAUUCAUCUUCCUCGGAGAUAUGAUAAUCAUAAUCGAGAGUCUGAAUUUCCUUAUGGUACUCUCCCUGAAGUUCAGACUCAGAUGAAAAAUACAUUGAAUCUUCAUGAAACACCACAUCCAUUGUAAUAUACAUUUGUCGAAUUGGAGGAUGGUAACAUCGAUAUCCCUUUUUGUGCAAUGCAUAUCCAACAAACACACAUUGCAAUGCAUGAGAAGUUAACUUGGUGCGUUGGUGUUUGUGUAGAUGCACAAAUGCCACGCAACCAAAAACACGAGGAGGUAGAUUUGGGACGGUUGGGGCAACUAUGACAUUAGUAAGAGCUUGGAGAGGUGUUUGAAAGUUAAUUGAGCUAGAAGGUACCCGAUUGAUCAAGUAUGCGGCAGAUGUGAUUGCUUCUCCCCAAUAAGAUAUCGGUGUUUUUGCUGCUAUCAAGGAAGCACGAACAACCUCUAACAAGUGUCGAUUUUUUCGUUCAGCGACUCCAUUUUGUUGGGGUGUAUUGGAACAAGUAGUCUGAUGAAUGAUGUCAUGUCCUUCCAAAUACUUUUGAAGAUCAGAACUUUGAUAUUCUCCACCAUUAUCACUACGCAGAACCCGAACCUUUGCAUUGUAUUGAGUUUCAAUCAUUUUAUGAAAAUUUUGAAACAACAAGUUCACUUUAUCUUUGGUCUUCAUUAAGCAUAACCAUGUCAUUCUGGUACAAUCAUCAAUAAAAGUAACAAACCAACGUGAGCCACUCAAAGUUGAGACUUUGGAUGGGCCCCAAACAUCAGAAUGUAUAACCAUAAAAGGAAACGGACUUUUAUUCAAAAUUAACGGAAACGAAGCACAAUGACUUUUAGCCAAUUCACAAAUAUCACAACGGAAACCAGAAAUAUCACUCUUUGCAAACAAACUAGGAAACGAUUUUUUUAAAUAACUAAAGAAAGCAUGUCCCAAACGUCGAUGCCACAACCAAAUUUCAAACUUUUUCUUCUCCUCCUCAAAUCCAUCUGCCAUCAAGGCUUGUUGCAACUUAUUUGAAUCCUUUGAUUGCAAGUCCAAGUAAUAGAGUUUUCCCCGUUUAAUACCACAACCAAUCGUCUGUCUUGUUUGGAUGUCCUUAAUCACACAAAAUUUAGGCAAAAAAAUGACAAUACAAGAUAAGGCUGUAGUGAUUUGAGAAACUGACAAAAGAUUGUAAUCUAAAGAUGGAACAACUAAAACAGAAUCCAAAUUCAAAGUAUCAGUAAGAGUUAAGGAUCAUUCCCCAAUGACUGGGGUUGUGUUACCAUUGGCUGUGGAAACAAUUUUUUGUGAGGAAGGUCUAAGGGGUGAAACCUGUCUAGAAUCAAAAGUCAUAUGAUCUGUAGCACCAGAAUCAAUUAUUCAUGCACUAUUAAUAACAGGUGUAAAAGUAUUUAAAAACUUACCACCAUGAUCAGUAGCGGCUACCAAUGCAGGGGCUUUCUCAGCAACAUUAGCCUCUGUUUUUAUUUCGGCAAUAGUUGCAGUCGAGGUUUUCUUGGGAUCCUUCUUCCGUUGAUCACGAUUAUUAUAAUUAAUAACAAAGUGUUGAUAGCCUAAACAUUAUCUAAAGGUCCAUCGUUCAAACCCUCGGUUCCUUAUUGUUUUCCUGGUCAUACCAAGAGUUGUUGCUUUGAAAUUGUGGGAUAUUCAGACUGGUGGAACCAGUCUUAUUGAAGUGAGUGCAUUUGAAGGUUGACUUAUCAAUAUUAGGGCUUGUCUUAGGAUGGUUGAUCGCUGUCGGACUACCAUAGCGACAAAAUAUCCAGGAUUUCAGUUCCAUGGCUCUGAUACCAUCUUCAAAUUGAUAAAUGGUAGUUUUUUUCAUUCAUACUUUCAUUCGUUCAUGUACAGAGUAUAUAUAGAGGGUAAUCACCAUUCUAAGAAUGGGAAAGAAUGAUACAAGGAAAUAAUGAUAUAAGGAAAUAACAAUUAAUAUCCUAAUAUCUCAACUUUCCUAAUAUCUCAAUAUUCCUAAUAUCUCAAUAUUCCUAAUAUUUCAAUAUUCCUAAUAUCUCAAUAUUCGUAAUAUCUCAACUUUCCUAAUAUCUAAACAUUCCUAAUAUCUCAACACUAAAUGAUAUAAGGAAAGAAUGAUAUAAGGAAAACAUUCCUAAUAUCUCAACACAACCUCCUAUGAUGUUAAGAUUUUGAGCCGAGAGAUGGUUUAAUAAGUUCUUAGAAGAGAGAGCGACUUGUCAACAAGAACCCAUAAUCUGGAUGCCCAGUUCAUGUCCUCCUUCAUGCUUACUGGGCUGUUCUCUUAUCAUUUUGCUUCCUUCUGCUAAAUCACCCUCUCUAAGAACCUUUUACAUUGAGAGGAAUUUCAAACUAUAGGUUUUGUUGGUAAUCAAAUUGGGGUAUGUUGGGGAGUUCAGACAAUGGACAUGAUUAAAUCGACAAAUCCCUAGAGAAUGACUGGUCAAGCGUCUUUAUCAUUUUUACAGGUGAGAGCUUGUGUAUUCUCUUGGGUAUAAUGGGGAUCUUCUGAUAUGCUUCCAAGAGAAGCAUACAAUGAUACUGCUUUUGUUUCAUGUAAUAAGAUUGUUUAGAUGUUCAACUGACCAUUCCAUUUUUUGAGUUGAUUGAUUCUGCAUUUUUCUCAUCAUCGUCUAUUUUUACCCACAUACUCAAAACUGCAAAAGGGUUGAUCGAUUUUAUUUAUGGUUGUUAACUCAGAAGUCCUCUACUUUUACAAAAGGAAUUUGCUCACAACAUUCACAACAUCUGAACCUAAACUCCACAUUUGCAAAUGGACCCAGGUCAUUAUCAGUGAUAUCCUCCUCUCCCAUGGCAAAAGAUUUAGUCAAAGAGAAGAACCUCAUCUUUAAGGCGUUCGUUUAAGCCAAUCUGACAAGUUUCUCGCUAAGUUCCCAAACCUUACGAGCCUUGUCUGCAUCACUAGCUUCCUGAGACAACUGGUUCUCAAAUGAAGCUGA
rnacentral:lncRNA from 1 species